GAUUUGUGAAUAAUCACACCGUUACGGAAAUAUUGAAACCUCGAUCAUUUCAUCGCACGCACUACGUAAAUGAAAAAAGAAAUAUAUUUGUGCUUUCCGUGAGUUAGCACGUGCGGUAGCUGCCGGUUUUAACUUUGCAGCAGUGUAGUGGUUCAUUCGACCGUCGCAACUGUGGAUAUUUUGUGCAUCUGUCAAUACGCCAAAAUCGAUUCAAUCAUGGUGCAAGGCGAGAUCGUCUACGACUCGAUCAUCCAAAAUAAGCACAAGACGAAGACCUACUGGGAGCAGCUGAUGAUGGCCGCGGAGAUGGGGACGCAACCCCCGGCGCCGCCGCUGCUCAAGCAAUUCAACGGCGACUGCCAAGACGACAAGGCCCACAGCGAGAUCUCCGAGGACUUCUACGACGCCGAAUCGCACAACUCCCUUAACUCCCGGAGCUCCACUCACUCGAGGCUGGCCUCGUCGGCCCCAAAAUCGUCGAAAAGGUGGCGAAGAAGCUGUUGGAAGCGGUGGAAUCACGCCCGACGAAGCGCGCCACGGAGGAGAGCGUGAUCGAGCGUGAGAUCAAGCUGCAGCGUGAGCGUGAGCUGGCGCUGGUGCGUGAGCGGGAGGCGGCGGCGGCGAAGGCGCAGGCGCGCGCCCCGGAGAUGAAGACCCUCGGAGGGAGCCUGAGCCCCGAGGUGACGACCGUGCUCAAGGAGGCCGACGACGAGUGGCGCCGCAGGAGCUGCAAGGACGAGGACCUCUUCAACAGCAUCCCCACCACCGACGAAGGCAACUGCUCCGAGUAUGGCAGCGAAGGCAAAGAUGACUUCAGCCCGGAGACAAACAACAGCCGUGUGAUGAGCCCCGAAGUGGAGAUGGGCGGUCAGAUCCACCAGCGGACCCAGUCGAUGGACUCGAUGAGCUCCGGGCACAGCUCCGGCUCCAGCUCCGGGCUCAGCUCACACCUGGACUGCUCCUACGUGAGCGUCAACGCCAGACGAAGAGGCAUCACCGUCAAACCCCUCGACGAGCCAGAGGAAGAGAACUCCACCUUUUUCAGGAAUGAAAGAGAAACUCCUAUUGAGCGAGAAAUUCGAUUGGCCAGAGAAAGGGAAGAGGAAUUGCGAAGAGAGAAAAAUAACAAUAUGAACAAUAUUAUAAAAUCCAAUGAGAAUCCGCCCACUCAUCAGCAGAAUAAAACCAUGAAUUCUACAAACUUUAGUAGCCGAAAUAGUAUAAACGUAGAGCAAGAAUUACUCAUCAUUAAAGCAGAAGAAAAUAUUGAUGUUCAAUCCAAGGUUAACCAACUAAACAGCUUGAGCCAAAGAAGUAAGUCAAACGACAAGAAGCCGGCGCCACUGCAGCUGAAGAAGCACCUAUCGAAGAGCGUCGUGAACCUGAGCUGUGCAAAAGAACUCGAGAGCGAGCUGACCGUGCCAUCACCGACGAGCCCUGCCGCCCCCAACUCCCACUUCAAGAAGUUCGUCGGCGCCCCCGCCACGCAGAAGCGCGGGCUCAUGAAAAGGUUCCUGGAAUCGCGAGGCAAACUCGGCUCCACUUUCACCCUCAACGCUCCCGCUCUGAAUAGUGAACCAAUCAAAAAACUCUCCACCUUCAGUAGUCCCAACUCUAAUCAAAACUGUGUCUCUGUAGUCAAUGCGCCACCUCGCAAACAUUAUGUUAAGAAAAUUCAGAACAAAGAAGAAAAUAGUAGCAUUGGAACUAGGCCUGGUUACAAGUCGGCAGAAGAAAAAAUUCAAAAUGAAUUGAUGGAAAUGAGAAGACGAGAGGAAGAGCUGAGGCGACAGAGAGCAUUCUCUUUGGCUAGAUCACAACCAAAUUUAUUAAGUCUAAUUGACGGUGAGGGGGAAAUUGUAGAUAACGAAAAAGAAAAAGAUAUUGAAAUCCUAGACAGACUGCCACCAAUGUCCAAACUCCGCACAGCUUUGAGCAAUCCCAAUCUCCUUGAUGUUGAUGAAAAGCCGGUGCAGAAAAAAAUACAGCAGCGGAAGAAAAGUGCUUUGAUAACUGAAUGGGAGAAUCGAAUCCAGAAAAAUAUAGAAUAAGUAGCACAUCAACUACUUUUUGGUGUAUGCUCUUUGUCAGGAUAUACUUUAACUUCUAAACGGACACGUGGACCAAAAAUAUUUACAUAGUGUGAUUUUUCGAAUAGCAUAACUGCAUUGUGAAUACGUAAAAAAGGUGCCCGCAUAGGUACCUAUCACAGCUUAACUGCUGUCAUUGUUGGGACAAAGGAAGAGGCGCUCAUUAAAUUUAAGAGAAAUAGUACCCUAAUAAUCCUAAACUUACUGCAUCCUAUAAUUGUCUAUCAGCAAAGGUAAAGCAGUGCAUUUAUCUUUAAUUCUUGUAUUUCUAAAACUGCAGGUGCCUUUUUUUCUGUGGAACUUGUUUGUAUGUUUCAUAUUACUUAAUUUUUUUAUGAUCAAUUUAUUUAUAAGGAUAGGCAGCUCAUGCCUGAUUUUUGCAUUUAAAUUCACUCCCGGUGUAAUUGAAAAAAUCACUGAAAAAGCGUAUCUUUCGAGAAAGACCAUAAUCAAAAUACUAAGUCAAUCGUACGACUUAGAUUCUCUUCCUUCCUAAGUCCUUUUGGAUUUCAAACGCAAUUUUAUUUUUUAUACUGUUUUAUAUUGUUUUUUAUUUGUAAGUAAUUUUUAGAUUAUAUCCUUUUAAAUUACCGGUAAGUUUUAACUACCUAUCCAUAUCAAAGAUUCAUUGAAAAGCAUCUAAAAUGGACCAGUAGCUCAUAAUAAGUAAUAAUUCAAGGUCAAAGGUGCCUUUACUCUCAAAUAUUUUCAUAAAAACAACUUAGAAAUUUUAUGUUGUUCCACCUCCCAUUUUACCCAACCCAUUUUUCUUCUUCAAAAUUUUCCAAUUUUAUAAAUAAUCUUUAUUUGGGACACAGAUUUUUAAUGGGAAAUGCUUCGCUAAGGAGUGAAAAAGAAAUCUACUUUUGAGACUACUUAUUACCUGGUUGCAUUUUUAUAAUUAAAUUUUCUUAUGAACUGGAAAGUUGAGCUGUGAUUUUAGUCAUUUUAAGUCAUACUUGGGUCUAAAU
rnacentral:lncRNA from 1 species